GUCUGCCGGAAAUAAGAAGUGUCCAGUCAGUUCAUGCAUUUUGAGUGGACAGAGCAGAAGGAGAAAAACGAAGCCGAGGCAGGACUGACUGAAGUCCAGAUGAUGAGUCUGUGCGCGAGGAGAGAGGAGGACAGAGCAGAGUCUGCAGUACCCAGCUGUCUGUCUAUAAAAAGUGACUUCUCUAAAGAUGAACCUCCAUUCUUCAGAAAUGAACCUGGACCCUCAGACACAAAAGAGAGGAAGAGGAGUCC